AACGUAGGGGGACAGCGUUGCUCGGAAUUACUGGGCGUAAAGGGUCUGUAGGCGGUGCGGUAAGUCCGGAGUGAAAUCUCCAGGCUCAACUUGGAGGCUGCUUUGGAAACUGCCGUGCUCGAGUGCGGGCGAGACGCGCGGAAUUGCAGGUGUAGGGGUGAAAUGCGUAGAUAUCUGCAGGAACACCAGUUGCGAAAGCGGCGAGCUGGACCGCAACUGGCGCUGAGAGACGAAAGCUAGGGGAGCAAACAGG
rnacentral:rRNA from 1 species